GUGCUCGCUUUGGCAGCAUAUAUACGAAAACUGGAACAAUACAGAGGUUAUCAUGGCCCUGUGUAAGCAUGACAUGCAAAUUUGUGAAGCAUUCCAUAUUUUU
rnacentral:snRNA from 1 species